ACCUUGCUGACGAGUGCCAAGUAACACGAAACCCGGGUCCAUGGU
rnacentral:hammerhead_ribozyme from 1 species